rnacentral:rRNA from 1 species
UUUUAUGGAGAGUUUGAUCCUGGCUCAGGACGAACGCUGGCGGCGUGCCUAAUACAUGCAAGUCGAGCGGAAAUUUUAUUGGUGCUUGCACCUUUAAAAUUUUAGCGGCGGACGGGUGAGUAACACGUGGGUAACCUACCUUAYAGAUUGGGAUAACUCCGGGAAACCGGGGCUAAUACCGAAUAAUACUUUUUAACACAUGUUUGAAAGUUGAAAGACGGUUUCGGCUGUCACUAUAAGAUGGACCCGCGGCGCAUUAGCUAGUUGGUGAGGUAACGGCUCACCAAGGCAACGAUGCGUAGCCGACCUGAGAGGGUGAUCGGCCACACUGGGACUGAGACACGGCCCAGACUCCUACGGGAGGCAGCAGUAGGGAAUCUUCCACAAUGGACGAAAGUCUGAUGGAGCAACGCCGCGUGAGUGAAGAAGGAUUUCGGUUCGUA